rnacentral:tRNA from 4 species
GCUACCUUAGCUCAGUUGGUAGAGCAACUGAUUCGUAAUCAGUAGGUCGUGGGUUCAAGUCCCAUAGGUAGCU